GACGAACGCUGGCGGCGUGCUUAACACAUGCAAGUCGAACGAAGUGGCGAACGGGUGAGUAACGCGUAAUCAACCUGCCCUUCAGAGGGGGACAACAGUUGGAAACGACUGCUAAUACCGCAUACUGAAGGAGUGGUUUGCGUCUGAUUAGCUAGUUGGAGGGGUAACGGCCCACCAAGGCGAUGAUCAGUAGCCGGGUUGGGAAGGUGAACGGCCAAAGUGGGACUGGGAAACGGGCCAGACUCCUAAGGGAGGCAGCAGGGGGGAAACUUCCGAAAUGGACGAAAGUCUGACGGAGCAACGCCGCGGGAGUGAUGACGGCCUUCGGGUUGGAAAGCUCUGUUAAGCGGGACGCGGUACCGGAAUAGAAAGCCACGGCUAACUACGUGCCAGCCGCCGCGGUAAUUC
rnacentral:rRNA from 1 species